GCCUACGGGGGGCAGCAGUAGGGAAUCUUCCACAAUGGGCGAAAGCCUGUUGGAGCAACGCCGCGUGGGUGAAGAAGGUCUUCGGAUCGUAAAACCCUGUUGUUAGAGAAGAAAGUGCGUGAGAGUAACUGUUCACAUUUCGACGGUAUCUAACCAGAAAGCCACGGCUAACUACGUGCCAGCAGCCGCGGCAAUACGUAGGUGGCAAGCGUUAUCCGGAUUUAUUGGGCGUAAAGGGAACGCAGGCGGUCUUUUAAGUCUGAUGUGAAAGCCUUCGGCUUAACCGGAGUAGUGCAUUGGAAACU
rnacentral:rRNA from 1 species